AGUGAACGCUGGCGGUAGGCCUAACACAUGCAAGUCGAACGGCAGCACAGUAAGAGCUUGCUCUUACGGGUGGCGAGUGGCGGACGGGUGAGGAAUACAUCGGAAUCUACUUUUUCGUGGGGGAUAACGUAGGGAAACUUACGCUAAUACCGCAUACGACCUACGGGUGAAAGCAGGGGAUCUUCGGACCUUGCGCGAUUGAAUGAGCCGAUGUCGGAUUAGCUAGUUGGCGGGGUAAAGGCCCACCAAGGCGACGAUCCGUAGCUGGUCUGAGAGGAUGAUCACCCCCCCGGGAACUGAGCCCCGGUCCAGCCCCCUACGGGAGGCAGCGGGGGGGAAUUUUGGAAAAUGGGCGCAAGCCUGACCCAGCCAUCCCGCGGGGGUGAAGAAGGCCUUCGGGUUGUAAAGCCCUUUUUUUGGGAAAAAAAAGCAGCAGGUUAAUCCCCCGCUGUUCGGACGGUCCCCCAAGAAUAAGCCCCGGCUAACUUCGU
rnacentral:rRNA from 1 species